rfam:Capsicum annuum cultivar Zunla-1 unplaced genomic scaffold scaffold2697, whole genome shotgun sequence
UACCUGGUUGAUCCUGCCAGUAUUCAUAUGUUUGUCUCAAAGAUUAAGCCAUGCAUGUGUAAGUAUGAACAAAUUCAGACUGUUAAACUGCGAAUGGCUCAUUAAAUCAGUUAUAUUUUGUUUGAUGGUAUCUACUACACGGAUAACGGUAUUAUUUCUAGAGCUAAUACGUGCAACAAACCCCGACUUCUGGAAGGGAUGCAUUUAUUAGAUAAAAAGUCGAUGCAGGCUCGGCCCGCUGCUGUGAUGAUUCAUGAUAACUCAACGGAUCACAUGACCAUCGUUCCAGCGACGCAUUAUUCAAAUUUCUGUCAUAUCAAGUUUUGAUGGUAGGAUAGUGACCUACUGUAGUGGUGAUGGGUGACGAAGAAUUAGGGUUCGAUUUCUAUGAGGGAUCUUGAGAAAUGGCUACCACAUCCAAGGAAGGCAGCAGGCACGUAAAUUACCCAAUCCUGACACGUGGAGGUAGUGACAAUAAAUAACAAUACCGGGCUCAAUGAUUCUUGUAAUUGGAAUGAGUAUAAUCUAAAUCCCUCAAUGAGGAUCCACUGGAGGGAGAUUCUGGUGCCAGCAGCCGUGGUAAUUCCAGCACCAAUAGCGUAUAUUUAAGUUGUUGUAGUUAAAAAGCUCAAAGUUGGACUUUGGGAUUGGCCGGCCGGUCCGCCUAUGGUGUGCAUUGGUCGUCUCGUCCCUUCCAUCGGCGAUACGCUACUGACCUUAACUGGCCGGGUCCUGCCUCCGACGUUGUUACUUUGAAGAAAUUAAAGUUCUUAAAGCAAGCGUACGCUCUGUAUACAUUAUCAUGGGAUAACAUUAUAGGAUUUCAGUCCUAUUACGUUGGCCUUCGAGAUCGGAGUAAUGAUUAUAGGGACAGUCGGGGGCAUUCGUAUUUCAUAGUCAGAGGUGAAAUGAUUGGAUUUAUGAAAUACGAACAACUGCGAAGGCAUUUUCCAAGGAUGUUUUCAUUAAUCAAGAAUGAAAGUUGGGGGCUUGAAGGCGGUCAGAUACCGUCCUAAUAUCAACCAUAAAUGAUACCGACCAGGGAUCGGCGGAUGUUGCUUUUAGGAACAUGCUGGCACCUUAUGAGAAAACAAAGUUUUUGGGUUCCGGAGGGAGUAUGGUCGCAAGGUUGAAACUUAAAGGAAUUGAUUGAAGGGCACCACCAGGAGUGGAGCCUGUGGCUUAAUUUGACUCAACACGGGGAAACUUACCAGGUCCUGACAUAGUAAGGAUUGAUAGACUAAGAGCUCUUUCUUGAUUCUAUGAGUGGUGGUGCAUGGCCAUUCUUAGUUGGUGGAGUGAUUUGUCUUGUUAAUUCCGUUAACAAAUGAGACCUCAGGCUGCUAACUAGCUAUGCGAAGGUAUUCCUUCGCGGCCAGCUUCUUAGAGGGACUACGACAUUUCAGGCCGCCGAAGUAUGACGUAAUAAUAAGUCUGUGAUGCCCUUAGAUGUUCUGGGCCGCACGCACACUACACUGAUGUAUUCAAUGAGUUUAUAGCCUUGGUCGACAGGCCCGGGUAAUCUUUGAAAUUUCAUCGUGAAGGGGAUAGAUCAUUGCAAUUAUUGAUCUUCAAUGAGAAAUUCCUAGUAAGCGUGAGUCAUCAGCUCGUGUUGACUAUGUCCUUGCCCUUUGUGCACACCGCCCGUCGCUCAUACCGAUUGAAUGAUCCGGUAAAAUAUUCAAAUCAUGGCCACAUGGGUGGUUCACUGCCUGCGAAGUCGUGAGAAGUCCAUUGAACCUUAUCAUUUAGAGGAAGGAGAAUUCAUAUCAAGGUUUUCGUUGGUGAACCUGUGGAAGGAUCAUUG